CGCGCCUACCACAUCAAGUCGAACGAGAAAGUCCCAAGGAUGAGUCAGUGGCGUCGGGUAGUAACACGUGAUUAUCUCCCUUUGGUGGGGAAUACCGCUGGAACCGGCGCAAUACCGCAUAAGCCCGAGAGGGGAAAGCGUUUUUGUGAAAGCAGAGACGCGCUGAAGGAGGAGUCCGCGGUCGAUUAGCUAGUUGGUAGGGUAAUGGCCUACCAAGGCUGUGAUCGAUAGCCGGCCUGAGAGGGCACACGGCCACACUGGCACUGAAACACGGGCCAGACUCCUACGGGAGGCAGCAGUGGGGAAUCUUGCACAAUGGGGGAAACCCUGAUGCAGCGACGCCGCGUGAGCGAUAAGCCCUUCGGGGUGUAAAGCUCUUUCGGCAGGGAAGAUGAUGGCG
rnacentral:rRNA from 1 species